rnacentral:rRNA from 1 species
UACGGGGGGGGCAAGCGUUGUUCGGAUUUACUGGGCGUAAAGGGCGCGUAGGCGGCGUUUUAAGUCGGGGGUGAAAGCCUGUGGCUCAACCACAGAAUGGCCUUCGAUACUGGGACGCUUGAGUAUGGUAGAGGUUGGUGGAACUGCGAGUGUAGAGGUGAAAUUCGUAGAUAUUCGCAAGAACACCGGUGGCGAAGGCGGCCAACUGGACCAUUACUGACGCUGAGGCGCGAAAGCGUGGGGAGCAAACAGG